AUGGAGCUAAUCGGAGCCACCCUCUGCUUCUGCUUCGCUUCUCUCAUCACAGUGUCCGUGAUUCUAGUUUCCUUGCUUAGCCGCAAACUAGUACCAAGUUCUGACAUGCGGCGGCCUCCUGGCCCAUGGAGUCUGCCCUUGAUCGGAAACCUGCACCAAAUCCUAACCACCAAGCUGCCCGUCGUCCUCCGGGACCUGGCAAAGAAGCAUGGGCCGGUCAUGUACCUUCGGCUGGGGCAGAUCGACACCGUGGUGAUCUCCUCGCCGGCGGCCGCGCAGGAAGUGCUGCGGGACAAAGAUCUUACAUUCACGUCGCGGCCGAGCAUUCUGCUCUCCGAGGUCACCCUCUAUGGAAACCUCGACAUCGGCUUCGCGCCAUACGGCUCAUACUGGCGGACGCUCCGCAAGAUCUGCACGGUGGAGCUCCUAAGCGAGCGGAAGGUGAGGCAGUUUUCGCCGGUAAGGGACAGCGAGACCAUGUGCCUUGUUAGGAACGUGGGCGACGCCAGCAGAGGUGGCAAGCCGUUCAAUAUCAGCAGGCUGCUCGUGUCGUGCUCAAAUUCGAUAACCGGGAGGACGGUGUUCGGGGAGAUGUGCAGCCCCGAGCUCCAAAAGGAGUUUAUGUCCGCGUUGGACAAGGCGCGGAACCUUGCCGCGGGGCUCUGCAUCGGGGAUCUCUUCCCGUCGCUGCGGUUCAUUGACGUGGUCUCCGGGCUGAGAGGCCGGCUAUGGCGAGCCCGCCACCAGCAGGACAAGGUCCUGGACGAGAUCAUCUCGCAGUCCGAGAUGCGGCAAGGUCAUUACCUUCUCAGCGUUUUGCUUAGGAUCAGGGACGAGGGGGAGCUUGACUUCCCGAUGGAACUGGAUAACAUCAAGGCAAUCAUAAUGGAUAUGUUCGCGGCCGGGACAGACACGACAUCAUCAGCUGCUGAGUGGGUCAUGUCGGAGUUGAUGAGGAACCCGGAAGUGAUGGCCAAGGCACAGGCGGAGGUGCGGCGAACAUUUGGCGAUAAAAGCCCACAAGACCAUGAGGGACACAUGCUGGAGCUACCCUACACAAAUAUGGUAAUCAAGGAGACCAUGAGGCUAAAUCCAGUGUUGCCGCUGCUGGUUCCCCGUGUCUGCCGAGAGACCUGCAACGUUGGUGGGUUUGAGGUCACGGAGGGUACCAGGGUUAUGGUCAAUACCUGGGCACUGGGUAGAAACCCUGAGUAUUGGCUUGAACCUGAGGAAUUCAGGCCGGAGAGGUUCGAGGAUGUCAGGACAAGCCAAAAAGGCUCACAGUUCGACUACUUGCCAUUCGGUAGCGGAAGGAGAACCUGCCCAGGCGAUAUAUUUGCGCUGGCUGUGUUGGAGCUCAUGGUGGCACGACUUCUUUACUACUUUGAUUGGAGCCUCCCUGCCGGAGUGAAGCCGAGUGAGCUGGACAUGGAAAUGACAGUUGCCUUAUCGGCAAGGAGGAAGAACCAACUGCACCUAGUGGCGACACCGUAUAAAGCAUAUGCAGUUGUUAGUUGA
rnacentral:rRNA from 1 species